UGCAGUCGAGCGGUAGAGAGAAGCUUGCUUCUCUUGAGAGCGGCGGACGGGUGAGUAAUGCCUAGGAAUCUGCCUGGUAGUGGGGGAUAACGUUCGGAAACGAACGCUAAUACCGCAUACGUCCUACGGGAGAAAGCAGGGGACCUUCGGGCCUUGCGCUAUCAGAUGAGCCUAGGUCGGAUUAGCUAGUUGGUGAGGUAAUGGCUCACCAAGGCGACGAUCCGUAACUGGUCUGAGAGGAUGAUCAGUCACACUGGAACUGAGACACGGUCCAGACUCCUACGGGAGGCAGCAGUGGGGAAUAUUGGACAAUGGGCGAAAGCCUGAUCCAGCCAUGCCGCGUGUGUGAAGAAGGUCUUCGGAUUGUAAAGCACUUUAAGUUGGGAGGAAGGGCAUUAACCUAAUACGUUAGUGUUUUGACGUUACCGACAGAAUAAGCACCGGCUAACUCUGUGCCAGCAGCCGCGGUAAUACAGAGGGUGCAAGCGUUAAUCGGAAUUACUGGGCGUAAAGCGCGCGUAGGUGGUUUGUUAAGUUGGAUGUGAAAUCCCCGGGCUCAACCUGGGAACUGCAUUCAAAACUGACUGACUAGAGUAUGGUAGAGGGUGGUGGAAUUUCCUGUGUAGCGGUGAAAUGCGUAGAUAUAGGAAGGAACACCAGUGGCGAAGGCGACCACCUGGACUAAUACUGACACUGAGGUGCGAAAGCGUAGGGAGCAAACAGGAUUAGAUACCCUAGUAGUCCACGCCGUAAACGAUGUCAACUAGCCGUUGGAAGCCUUGAGCUUUUAGUGGCGCAGCUAACGCAUUAAGUUGACCGCCUGGGGAGUACGGCCGCAAGGUUAAAACUCAAAUGAAUUGACGGGGGCCCGCACAAGCGGUGGAGCAUGUGGUUUAAUUCGAAGCAACGCGAAGAACCUUACCAGGCCUUGACAUCCAAUGAACUUUCUAGAGAUAGAUUGGUGCCUUCGGGAACAUUGAGACAGGUGCUGCAUGGCUGUCGUCAGCUCGUGUCGUGAGAUGUUGGGUUAAGUCCCGUAACGAGCGCAACCCUUGUCCUUAGUUACCAGCACGUAAUGGUGGGCACUCUAAGGAGACUGCCGGUGACAAACCGGAGGAAGGUGGGGAUGACGUCAAGUCAUCAUGGCCCUUACGGCCUGGGCUACACACGUGCUACAAUGGUCGGUACAGAGGGUUGCCAAGCCGCGAGGUGGAGCUAAUCCCAUAAAACCGAUCGUAGUCCGGAUCGCAGUCUGCAACUCGACUGCGUGAAGUCGGAAUCGCUAGUAAUCGCGAAUCAGAAUGUCGCGGUGAAUACGUUCCCGGGCCUUGUACACACCGCCCGUCACACCAUGGGAGUGGGUUGCACCAGAAGUAGCUAGUCUAACCUUCGGGAGGACGGUUACCACGGUGUGAUUCAUGACUGGGGUGAAGU
rnacentral:rRNA from 1 species